AUUGAACGCUGGCGGAAUGCUUUACACAUGCAAGUCGAACGGCAGCACGGGGGCAACCCUGGUGGCGAGUGGCGAACGGGUGAGUAAUACAUCGGAACGUGCCCGGUCGUGGGGGAUAACGUAGCGAAAGUUACGCUAAUACCGCAUACGAUCUGAGGAUGAAAGCGGGGGACCUUCGGGCCUCGCGCGAUCGGAGCGGCCGAUGUCAGAUUAGGUAGUUGGUGGGGUAAAGGCCUACCAAGCCGACGAUCUGUAGCUGGUCUGAGAGGACGACCAGCCACACGGGGACUGAGACACGCCCCAGACUCCUGCGGGAGGCAGCAGGGGGAAAUUUUGAAAAAUGGGCGAAGGCCUGACCCAGCCUUGCCGCGUGCAGGAGGAAGUCCUUGGGGUUGUAACCUUUUUUUGUAGGAAAGGAAAAGUCUUUGGCUAAUCCCGGGGGCUAAGGACGGUACGGAAAAAAAAAGCCCCGGCAACCUCGGGC
rnacentral:rRNA from 1 species